rnacentral:rRNA from 1 species
UACGGAAGGCAGCAGUGGGGAAUAUUGGACAAUGGGCGCAAGCCUGAUCCAGCCAUGCCGCGUGUGUGAAGAAGGCCUUCGGGUUGUAAAGCACUUUUGUCCGGAAAGAAAAGCUUAGGGUUAAUAACCUUGAGUCAUGACGGUACCGGAAGAAUAAGCACCGGCUAACUUCGUGCCAGCAGCCGCGGUAAUACGAAGGGUGCAAGCGUUACUCGGAAUUACUGGGCGUAAAGCGUGCGUAGGUGGUUUGUUAAGUCUGAUGUGAAAGCCCUGGGCUCAACCUGGGAAUGGCAUUGGAAACUGGCUUACUAGAGUGCGGUAGAGGGGUGUGGAAUUCCCGGUGUAGCAGUGAAAUGCGUAGAUAUCGGGAGGAACAUCUGUGGCGAAGGCGACACCCUGGGACCAGCACUGACACUGAGGCACGAAAGCGUGGGGAGCAAAC